GACGAACGCUGGCGGCGUUCUUAACACAUGCAAGUCGAACGGAAAGGCCCUGCUUUUGUGGUGUGCUCGAGUGGCGAACGGGUGAGUAACACGUGAGUAACCUGCCCUUGACUUUGGGAUAACUUCAGGAAACUGGGGCUAAUACCGGAUAGGAGCUCCAGCUGCAUGGUGGGGGUUGGAAAGUUUCGGCGGUUGGGGAGGGAGUCGCGGCUUAUCAGCUCGUUGGUGGGGCGGUGGCUUACCAAGGCUUUGACGGGUAGCCGGCCUGAGAGGGUGACCGGCCACAUUGGGACUGUGAUACGGCCCAGACUCCUGCGGGAGACAACGGUGCGUAAUAUGUUAGAAUUGGCGGUAUCCUUAUGCCGCAACGCCUCAUGGGUGAAGACGGCCAUCGCUUUAAAAUCCGCUUUCGCCUUUGACUAAGCGUGAGUAAAGGUAAUGGGUAAAGAAGCAACGGCUAACGACGUG
rnacentral:rRNA from 1 species